rnacentral:rRNA from 1 species
GACGAACGCUGGCGGCGUGCUUAACACAUGCAAGUCGAACGAUGAAGCCCUUCGGGGUGGAUUAGUGGCGAACGGGUGAGUAACACGUGGGCAAUCUGCCCUUCACUCUGGGACAAGCCCUGGAAACGGGGUCUAAUACCGGAUAACACUCCCGCGCUCAUGUGCGGGGGUUGAAAGCUCCGGCGGUGAAGGAUGAGCCCGCGGCCUAUCAGCUUGUUGGUGAGGUAAUGGCUCACCAAGGCGACGACGGGUAGCCGGCCUGAGAGGGCGACCGGCCACACUGGGACUGAGACACGGCCCAGACUCCUACGGGAGGCAGUAGUGGGGAAUAUUGCACAAUGGGCGGAAGCCUGAUGCAGCGACGCCGCGUGAGGGAUGACGGCCUUCGGGUUGUAAACCUCUUUCAGCAGGGAAGAAGCGCAAGUGACGGUACCUGCAGAAGAAGCGCCGGCUAACUACGUGC